rnacentral:rRNA from 1 species
GACGAACGCUGGCGGCGUGCCUAAUACAUGCAAGUUGAGCGCUGAAGGCUGGUACUUGUACCAACUGGAUGAGCAGCGAACGGGUGAGUAACGCGUGGGGAAUCUGCCUUUGAGCGGGGGACAACAUUUGGAAACGAAUGCUAAUACCGCAUAAAAACUUUAAACACAAGUUUUAAGUUUGAAAGAUGCAAUUGCAUCACUCAAAGAUGAUCCCGCGUUGUAUUAGCUAGUUGGUGAGGUAAAGGCUCACCAAGGCGAUGAUACAUAGCCGACCUGGGAGGGUGAUCGGCCCACUUGGGAACGGGACCACGCCCAAAACCCUUCGGGAGGCAGCAGUAGGGAAUCUUCGGCAAUGGACGAAAGUCUGACCGAGCAACGCCGGGUGAGUGAAGAAGGUUUUCGGAUCGGAAAACUCUGUUGGUAGAGAAGAACGUUCGUGAGAGUGGAAAGCUCAUCAAGUGACGGUAACUACCCAGAAAGGGACGGCUAACUACGUG